AUGAACGCUGGCGGCGUGCUUAACACAUGCAAGUCGAACGAAGCCAAAAGGAAGCUUGCUUUCUUUGAAGCUUAGUGGCGGACGGGUGAGUAACGCGUGAGUAACCUGCCCCUCAGUGGGGAAUAACACAGAGAAAUCUGUGCUAAUACCGCAUAAUGUCUUCUUGCCGCAUGACAGGAAGACCAAAGGAUUUAUUCGCUGAAGGAUGGACUCGCGUCCGAUUAGCUAGUUGGUGAGGUAACGGCCCACCAAGGCGACGAUCGGUAGCCGAACUGAGAGGUUGAUCGGCCACAUUGGGACUGAGACACGGCCCAGACUCCUACGGGAGGCAGCAGUGGGGAAUAUUGGGCAAUGGGCGAAAGCCUGACCCAGCAACGCCGCGUGAAGGAAGACGGUCUUCGGAUUGUAAACUUCUUUGAU
rnacentral:rRNA from 1 species